rnacentral:lncRNA from 1 species
GUGUGAGCAGAGCGAGGGAGGGGCCUUGGAAGUGGGCUCAGCCCAGCUUCCACCGGGCUGUUGGUGGCCUGCACUGGGGUCCCUGAGAGCCAGGGCUGCAGAAGCUGGGGCCGGCAAGGCCGGGGUCCCCGCAGCUGGGCAGCACUCACCACUGAGCCACCUGGCCCUGACGGCCAACACAAUGGACACGCCUGGAAGGAGAGGAUGGGCCAGACAGGGUCUUGCUGUGCAGUUUGGGCUGGCCUUGAACUCACUUGUGUAGUCCAGGCUGGUCUCCACGGUGAUCCUCCUGGCUCAGCCUCCCGAGUGCUGGAAUUACCGGUAUGCAUCACCACACUCAGCCUAAUCUUUCUCAUUUGAGCUUUGAUCGAUCUGCAAUUUAUUCCAUGCUUAGAGUGAGGCAGAGAUGUGUUUAUUUAUUCAAAUGUCCUAAUAUCAUGCAGCAAACGGUCCAUUUUUCUUAUUGGGCUUCAAAUGCCAAUCUUUUCAGUCACUAAAAUCAUAUAUAUUUUAUCUCCAUUUCCCUAAGAAGAAACCUCAAAGAGGUCAAGUUUCUCUCUCUGUCUCUCUCUCUCGUCAAACUUAUUUUUUUUCCAUUAAGUUUAUUGGUACAUUUUAGGUAUAAAAUACAGUUUCACUCAUCAUUGGGAUCUUGUACCUUGAAUCUAAAUCCUUUUCUUUUUUUUUUUUAAUGGUACCGGGGAUCAAACUCGGGUCCUUGUGCUUUCGAGGCAGGCAGUGGAACCACUGAGCUACAUCCCAGGCCUCUCCUUGAACUCAUAGCAAUUUUCCUGCCUCAGCCUCGGGAGUGCUGGGAUGACAGGUGUGUGCCCUGUGCCUGGCGAGGUCAAGUAACUUCCGGAGUUUGAGCAAUGAGCUGGUGCCUGAGCCACAGGUGGAAGCCGAGUCCGUGGUGUUUGCAGGACAAACUGUGGACAGGAGCCGGUUGGCAGGGCGAGGAGCGGGCAGGAGCCCGCUGGGCCACAGAACGUCAGCUGCACUUUUAAGCCAGUUUUGGCCUACAGACUCGGCCCGGUGACAUGGGCGGCUUUGGCUGCAGCAGGGCGGAGUGCACCCAGAGGAAAGCGACCUGCAGAAGUGCCCAGAACAGGGUGCAGGACAGCGGUGUGUGUGCUGGAGCUCGAGGGGGUGGCAGGGGAUGGCAGGGGCAUUGGGUGACACCCAGGCUCUGCCCUGGGCUCAGGGCCCCCCAUGCCACUGGGGCCAUCCCAGCCUUGCCUCUCUUGACAUGGCCAGGGAUCCCCAGGACCCCCUGAGCCAGACUGAGCCACACCCUCCUGAUUCAACCUUCUCCAGAACCCAGGGGUGCCUUAGCUCUGGAACUGUCCCCACACCCACUGGGCUGUGAAGUCCUGCCCUGCAGCCACCAUGAGCAGAGAGGAAAGGGUGCUGGGAAGCAGGGGAGGGAGCAGGUGAAUAGCCUGGCUUCUGACUCAGUUCUCCUCCCUGGAGGCCCAGUCUGUGAGGACCCACACCCAGCCCAUCUUCCCCAGGCAGAGUGAAUGACCUCAAGCUGAUGGAGGCCAAUCCCAUCAUCUACAGGGGGAAGCCGAGGCCCAGGGAUGCUCAUGACCACCUCCAGCCAAGCGCUGGGCAGAGGGAAUGGGGUGGACCUGCUUGGGAGCCCAUGCAGCCUGGGGUGACCUUCUGUGGCCUUCAUGCCGUGGAGCUGGACACGCAUCACGUCCCAUGGUCCCUCUCGCUGCAGUGCCUCAGGCAGGGCCUGCAUCCAGUCCGGCCUCCUAACCCUCCUGGGCCACUGGGUGGUGGAGCCCGAGUUCCCUUGCAAAGAGCAAGAAGAGAACCCAGGACCAGGGUGCCUGCAGGGCCAGGGCCAGGUGGGGCCAAGGACUUCCUCCGUACCUUUCACAUCUACCACUGUGUGCUUGUCCUGCAGCUUCAGACUCGGAGCAUAUGCUUCUUACAGAGCUACCCAGCCACACCCAGGGCUGGUGGACCUGGGGGCUUUCAUAGCACAGCCCCUGUGGUGCAGCUGGCCUUGAGCCGCAGGCUCGGCGACUGACUACGAAGACAGAGCAGCCUGCCCUCUGUCUCCUCCCAGUCCCGAUGCGGCCUGGGGUUCAUGGGCGGCCCGGGUCCCAGCUCCCCACUUCCCUGCACCCCUGGGUUCGGGCGAUGUGGCCAUCCUUGCCGCCCCUACCCUGUCCAGCUUGGCCCUGUGUCACCACUGUUCUUGGAUAAGACGCAGGGACAGCCGGGAGUGGCUGUCGAUGGGACGUUAAGUGCAUGCCAACCUCUGGGUUUUGUAUAAAGGGCAAAAGAGGGGUGAAUUUUCUGGCGCUAAUAAGGAAAAUCUUGAGGUUGCCAUUAAUGAAUUGGUCUAAUUGUGCUUUCCAAACAUACCCAGCCAGCAGCUGCUUAAAACUUGUCAUUUUUGUAAAUGAAAAGUAUGAAACAUGGAAACUGUAUAUCCAACUGCUGAUUACAAAUGACAAUGAAGUAUUAAUUGUAUCCAUUAAAGAAAAAGCAAGUACCACCAGCCGGAAAACGCCAGC